GGGGGGGGGGGGGGGGGGGGGGGGGGGGGGGGGGGGGGGGGGGGGGGGGGGGGGGGGGGGGGGGGGGGGGGGGGGGGGGGGGGGGGGGGGGGGGGAUUGGGAGAGGCUGUAGGGGCACUGGGAGGGACUGAGGGGGACUGGAGGGGACUGGGGGCACUGGGAGGGACUGGGAGAGGGGAUGGAGGAGUACUGGGGGCACCAGGGGAAGGACUGGGGGCACUGGGAGGGACUGGAACAGGGAUUGGGAGCACUGUGAGGGAGAUUUAAGGGACUGGGAGAGACUGGGGCAUACUGGGAAGGACUGGGAGGUAGAGUGGGAACACUGGGAUGCACUGGGAAGGGAACUGGGAUGGGAAUUGCGAGCACUGGGAGGGCACUGGGAGUACUGUGAGGGACUGGGAUAGGGACUGCGGGCACUGAGAGGGACUGGGGGGACUGGGAAGCACUGGGAGGGCACGGGGAGCACUGGGAGGUUACUGGGAGCACUGGUGCAGUGUCCCCCCCUGUCCCCCCCCGCAGGCGGUCCCCCCCCGCAGGCCCCGGGGCUCCCCCUGAGCCCGUGGCCGCCACCAGCUUCGUGGGGCCAGAACCGCGGGACCUGCUGCCCACCGGUGAGGAGCUGGGCAGCCCCAGCAGCGCCGGGACCGGGCAGGGCUACGGACUGGGCUGGCCACAGGUACGGACUGGGAGCACUGGGAUGGAACUGGGAGGGACUGGGAGCACUGACAGGGAAUGGGGAGGGCUGGGAUGCAGCUGCCUUGUGGCCCUGGGGGAUUUAUUGGUGUUUAACUGCUGUAUACUGGUGUGUUACUGGUGUACGCAGGUGUGUAUGAGGAUAUACUGGUGUGUGUAAUUAGUAUAUACUGGCUUAUACUGGUGUAUACCGGUUAAUAUUGGUUUAUACUGGCCCAGGAGCCGGGCUCAGAGGGUGACUGGUGGGACUGGUGUGUGACUGGUCCAUACUGGUUUAUACUGGUUUAGUAACUGGUUUACACUGGUUUAUACUGGUGCAUAACGGUUAGUAACUGGUAUAUACUGGUCUAUACUGGCGCAUAACUGGUCUAUACUGGUUUGCACUGUCCCAGGAGCCGGCCCCGUUCGCCGUGGAGCUGCUGCGGGGCCCGGGGGGUGACUGGUGGUACUGGUGUGUAACUGGUCUAUACUGGUCUAUACUGGGCAGGAGCCGGCGCCGUUCGCUGUGGAGGGGGGGGGGGGGGGGGGGGGGGGGGGGGGGGGGGGGGGGGGGGGGGGGGGGGGGGGGGGGGGG
rnacentral:lncRNA from 1 species